AAUCGAUACGAUAAUUUAUACCCAAAGAGUAGAGCGUGCUAACAGGAAUCGGGAUUCGGGCUCAGGUCUUCCUGCUCUGAUAUUGGUCUAGAUCUGGAGGUCAGCUCUAUGUCGUAUCGUUCGAUGCGCUUCCAGAUACGUCUGACUUUCAGGCGUGAACGCAGCCGACUAUAUCUUGGCCCCAGCUCAGAUAAGUGCACAAAUACAUAUAUAUAUAUAUGAGUAUAUACAUAUAUAUAUGUGCAUAUACGGCAUACAUAUAUCUGGGGGCAAUAACAGCUGAAAGUCGAAGCCCGAACCGAGACGCAAAUCGUUCGGUCGCGCGAUUUGUUCACAUCGUUUUUCGGAUAUCAUUUUUGUUAUUUAUUUCAAAAUACUCAAAAGUGCACAAACUCGAGCACCUGUUAUUGUUAGAUUUGUAUAAAUAUAUUGUGCCUUGAUAUGAUGUCUAAUAGAUACGAACGACAAGUAUGCACAUCACAAGAUCAGAUAGUUAGGAUCGUCGGGGAACCGUCUGAUAAUAAUUUAGACAAUUUCUAAAGCUUCACCUAACAAAAUCAACAUUAUUUUAAAGGUAAAUCAUAUUUUAAGCUUGAAAUACAAUAAAAAAAGAAUAUUCAUGGAGCCUCAAAGAAUUUGUCAAUCUAAGGAUCUACGUUUCCAAUUUAAAGAAAUAUAAUAUUAAGGAAAAAUAUCAAUUAAUGCAAAUAUCUAAAUGAUCUAAUAACAGAGAAUUAUGUAAAUAUGUAAAUAAUAGCAGAUGUUUCGAUAUCGUCAUACUAACUGAAAUUUGAUAAUUAUAUAUCUAAGAACUCAUUUAAUAUUAAAUAACUUUUUACAGCCCUCUCAGUUGUCUUUCAGGUUUGUGUUCAAUCAAAUCUAAAUUACCAACUUUAUAAAUACAUAUAUUCAAUAAUGUUUUUGUUUUUGUUUUUGUUUCUUUCACAAUUUGGCAACACUUUCGAGCGCCUUCUAACUCAGCGUGUGAUCACUGUAAUUACAAUGGUGAUGUGAUGAAUGAGAAUAACUCCUGCGCAGAUGAGUCAGCAUCGUGUUUGGCAUUGGAGCAAAGUUUGAAAGGCUUUUUAUGCACGCAUACACAUGCACUGGCACACAUACAGCUGUAGUUUUCAACUUUAACUUGAAAGGUUAACAUUGGCGCACUAAUCUUUGGAGUGAAUGUGUAUAACAAAAACAACAACAACAACAACAACAACAACGAAGAGAACAGCAGAUAAUUGCGGAGUGAGGUAAAGUGAUUGGAAUUGCGAUAAGCCGACGCCACUUUGUAGGUGACCCUUUUGGCUGAAGAAUACAAUUUGAAGGGCGUUCUUGGCGCACUCUCUCUCUCUCUCUCUCUCUCUCUCACACACACACACACACACGCAAUGUGGCCCACCUGUUGCGCUUACCACCUUUCACACAAACCCCCUUCCCCAGCCCAUUUCCACACACGCUAUUGCAUUCAUUGAGGAUCGCGCAUAUCGUAAGCGUAUAUCGUAUUUGACUUGCUACUUACCCAUUUUUAACAUGGAUGACUCUCCUCUGUUAGCUGAGCGAAAUUAUUUGUUUACGUAUUUUGUUGACAGCUUUGCUUAAAGUAUUUAUAUAUUUUGUAAUUUUAGCAAAUAACAAAAAUAAUGCCGCUUGCUGUGUUUGUAUGCUUCUUCGGGUUGCGGUAAUUAAGGCUAAAACAAUUUGUCAAGCUUUUGACCAAUAAUUUAAAUAAAGGUCAAGUCUACAAAAGUGUGAUUUCAGCUUCGGUUGGCAACACGCACACACACACACACACACGCACACACACACACACACACGCACACAGCUGCACUUGCACGCAAGCGCAACGUGAACGAGGUUUUUAUAUGUAUAUAUGUAUGUAUAUAUUUUUUUUGUUUUUUGUGUUUUUGUUGUUGCUUUUUUAAAUCACAGUCAGUGCGAAGUCUUGUUGGUUGUUUGAAAGUUUUUUUAUUUAUUUAUUUGAGCGCCGCCAGAGCCCUCAAAAAGAAACGAUAUGUAGCUUAACACGAUCGCAGCGCGAAUGCGCCAAAGCAAAUGUACAAAGCGCACAUGAAGCAGCGGCAAUGGGCAAUGCCAGCAGCAAUAACAACAACAACAGCAACAGCAACAAUACAAGCGCACGCCUUGUAAAAACAACAACCAAGAAGAAGAAAAAAAAAAAACAAAAAAAGAGAGCGCACAAACUUUUGAUAUUUUCAGUUUGAAUGCGGCAGUUGUGGCCAAUGUGCCGGUUCUCUGUUGUGCAUAACAGCACACACACACACACACACACACACGAAAGCACACACAUACUGAGACACACGCCCACACACAGCAGUGUGUCAGUGUGUGCCAACUCAUUCUCAAAUUGAGAGCCGUGGAGUAGCCAGUGUUGCCACAAAGUAUAAACAACAAAAAUGCUUUUCAAAUUGUAAAAUACGCCCAUUCUGCAGAGUCAUGCUUGUGAUUACAUUUACAUGGACCUAGACCUAACAAAUGUAUGCAUACAUAUGUUUGUACGUAUAAACAACAGUUGUACAGUGCACUCACCUGUUCUACGCAGUGAAAGCUCAAAAUGAUAAGCAAAAAUGGAUGUAAUAAAAUGAUUAUAAUUUGAUUGAAAAAUGUAAACAA